rnacentral:rRNA from 1 species
CCUACGGGAGGCAGCAGUAGGGAAUAUUGCUCAAUGGGGGAAACCCUGAAGCAGCAACGCCGCGUGGAGGAUGAAGGUUUUCGGAUUGUAAACUCCUUUUGUUAGAGAAGAUAAUGACGGUAUCUAACGAAUAAGCACCGGCUAACUCCGUGCCAGCAGCCGCGGUAAUACGGAGGGUGCAAGCGUUACUCGGAAUCACUGGGCGUAAAGAGCGCGUAGGCGGGAUAGUAAGUCAGAUGUGAAAUCCUAGGGCUUAACCAUAGAACUGCAUUUGAAACUGUUAUUCUAGAGUAUGGGAGAGGUAGGUGGAAUUCUUGGUGUAGGGGUAAAAUCCGUAGAGAUCAAGAGGAAUACUCAUUGCGAAGGCGACCUGCUAGAACAUAACUGACGCUGAUGCGCGAAAGCGUGGGGAGCAAACAGGAUUAGAUACCCGGGUAGUC